CGCUUAGAAGGAAACGGACGGAACUGAGAAGUUGCCUGUCGAAUUCAAUACGUAGAAACCUGGUAGCAGGCUAAUACGUAUGCAUUUUCGGCAGGUGAGCGUUGCGACCAAUUUUUCUACCGGCGAAGGGCCAUGGUAUGCCGACUGAGCCUUCGGGCCUGGUGUUCCUACUGUGGCUCCUGUCUGGGUUAGAGAGAUUGUGGACCAGCAGUGUCAGGCGUAAUGUCUCGAGGUGGACGCCCGAGUGUUGGCGAAAUAGUUAGGUCCUGCUCGCAGAACCUGACGAGUUCCAGCAUUCGUGGCGAUCUGGUACUCGACCGGCACAUAUGGUCAGCAGCGUCCGCGUCAGCCACCCGUCCGACCCGUCUUGAAACACGGACCAAGAAGUCUAACAUGUGCGCAAGUCAAUGAACAGUAAAUUCAAAGGCGAAAUGAAAGUAAAAGUCAGCCUGGCUGACUUAGGUGAGAUCCUGAGACUAUGGUUUUGGGCGCAUCACCGUCCCGUCCCGUGAGUAAUGUCUCAGGGGCGGAGAAAGAGCGUACACGUUGGGACCCGAAAGAUGGUGAACUAUGCUUGAGCAGGAUGAAGCCAGAGGAAACUCUGGUGGAGGUCCGCAGCGGUUCUGACGUGCAAAUCG
rnacentral:rRNA from 1 species